rnacentral:rRNA from 1 species
AGCUCCAAUAGCGUAUAUUAAAAUUGUUGCGGUUAAAAAGCUCGUAGUUGGAUUUCAGUUCUGGACUGAUGGCUCACCGCCCGGUGCAGUCCGUCACGCUCCGAACGCUUACAACGCUUGGCUGGCUUGCAUGGGGUGCUCUUCAUCGAGUGUCCCUUGUGGCCGGCAGAGUUUACUUUGAAAAAAUUAGAGUGCUCAAAGCAGGCUACACUGACGGCCUGAAUGGUGAUGCAUGGAAUAAUGGAAUAGGACCUCGGUUCUAUUUUGUCGGUUUUCUGAACCCGAGGUAAUGACUAAUAGGAACAGGCGGGGGCAUUCGUAUUGCGACGCUAGAGGUGAAAUUCUUGGACCGUCGCAAGACGAACUACUGCGAAAGCAUUUGCCAAGGAUGUUUUCA